AUCUUUCCCGUACCAAAGAAAAAGUGUUUUUUUUUAAAUUGUUUUUCGGAUACUAUGUAAUAUGUAUUAACAAUUUUAUUAUAGGACGAAUCAUAAACAAGACCGGUUAAAAAAGGUGUAGUCACGUAAUAGACAGAUAAGACGGGUGUAUAGAGGUAGUGAAAAAACAGACGAACAUCCGGACACGUGUGUCAUUACAGAGAUCGAUAGGAGGAAAUGUCGACAAAGGCAGAUGAACGGUCGAGACGCGGCGCUCGGGGAAAAAAUAAAUAAAGACGCUAGGAGACGGAGACGGGGAAAACGACGAGUGCAGGUGUCGCGCCGUGCAGCGAGGAGUGUGGAGUGUGGAGUCAGUAGAGAGGCCGCACGCGGCGAGUGAUGUCGUGUCGGCAGAGCGGCCGGAGCGCGCGGCGCGGGCGAGCGCUCGGCUCGUGACAUGUGAUGUUCCGGAGACGCGCCCUGCGGCGGCGGCUGGCGGCGGGCGGCGCGCCCUCCGUCUCCGACGACCAGCUGCGCGGCCUGGCGCGAGCCCUGGACGCGGGCCCCGCCGGCGCGGCUUGUGUGCCGGACGCCUCACCGGCGCUGCGGCUGGCGGCGGCCCGCGUCUUCCGCUACCCAGACCUCGGAGACCUGGCUGAGCUGCGCCGCCUGCCGCAUUGCUGCGACCAUCGGUGCUGCAACCCCUACCACUACAGUCGCCUCUGUGAGCCCGAAACCCCUCCUCCUCCUUACAGCCGGAUAGCGAUGGAUGACGUCAAACAUAAAGAACAAGACGAGAAGACAGAAGAUGCUCGGAGAACUGACCACGAGCGGCUUGCCACGGGCUCGCUGGCUACUGACGGAGAAGAGCGUCAGAGCUGGGAGAGCGAGUGGUGCCGGCUGGCGUACUGGGAGCUGACCCAGCGUGUCGGGAGGCAGCUGGGGGUGAGAGUGCGCGCGGUGGACGUGUUCGCCGGCGCCGGGGGCAGCUGCGGCCAGGGGAGACACGGCCUGUGUGUGGACGACCUGGGAGACAGGGGCACGCAGGUUGAACAGGUGCGGAAGACCCGGGCGAAGAUAGGUCUCGGCGUGACGCUAUCCUUGGAGGCGGACGGCGUCUGGUUGUACAACCGCAGUCAAGAACCAGUGUUCGUGUCGUCGCCGGCGCUGGACGCGGCCGCUGCCAAAGCCCUCCUGGUGUGGCGCGUCGCCCCGGGUCAUUGUCUGUGCGUUUUCGACCCCGGGGCUCCACCGCCCGCCCUGUCUCUGCCGCACGUCGGCCCCGUCGACAACACCUCCGUCAGGAUCUCCUUCGCCAAGGGCUGGGGUCCCAAAUAUUCCAGGCGUGACGUCACCGCCUGUCCCUGCUGGUUGGAAGUGCUGCUAGCGCCCGCCAGCUGACGCUAGGACGGAUAUAUCGUGAUGAGUGAACUAUAGUGAGGGUGAUGACUGUGAUCAGUGAGUCCGAGACCAGCAUCACUAACUGACCAAACAACUUUUAUAUGGAAAGUGAAAAUAUUUAUUUUAUCAAAAUGAAAUGAUUGUUGUAAAUAAUAUAUAUGUAUAGCUGCCUCGGCCUGUGCUCAGGGAAUGAUGUUUGCUCUGUAUAGACAUCACGCAUAUUAUUUUAUAUAUAUUGUCAUGAAAUCCAACUCAUUUGUAACGGAAGUCAUUCUCUGAAGCACAUUGGCCCAACAUUGGUCCAACACGGUCCAACAUGGAACGUAUGUCCAAAGUUUCGGAUGUGAUGUUAAAGCUAUGUGUACAAUGUAUGUAUAUUAUGUAUAGACCUCGGCUUUAAUCCGCGAGACUGUAUAUAACGUAUGUAAUGUACUGUUAAUAUUUAUAAUUAUGAACUAUGCCUUACCUUAGUCAGUAAGUAGAUGUAAGUUUUAAUUUUUUGUACAAAUACUGAGGCAUCGUAUAGAGGAGGGAUGAGAUGGGGUCGAGGGGGUCAGGCGCGGAGGCUGUGCGAGGAGCAUUUGUAUUUGUUGUAGAGUAAGAGUAUGAGAUCUGUGGGUGGAGUGAGUCCUGUUAGAUGGUAGUGACACUGUGCCUUGAGUUGUAUUCAAUGUUUAUAGGGUAAUGCAGUCAAUUCGCUGAUAUACAACGUAGGUUUAUAGUGAAGUACCUCGAAUAAAGUGCUUGGACAAAGUGAGUCGAGUCGACAAUAAGAUAUUCUAGUCUGUAGAACAAGCUUGCUUUGUCUGUGUGGUAGGCCGCUGACACAUGUGGUUUAAUAAUCAAUUGGCCUUACAAAGGAUAUAUAUAUAUUUAUAUCGAUGAAGCAAUAUUGUUAAUAUAUGAAACAGAAAUUAAACGAAAAUUUAUAUGUUAUGAUGAAAAAAUCUAUCAGAUUUGUAACGGUACAAACAACCGAGCAUAAUUAAUGUGGUAUAUAUUUAUUGAAGCUGUAGUCAUUACGUUAGACUGAUGUGGAGCCUGAAACUUAACACAUGGGGUGAGCUCAUGCAGAGGUUGGAGUUAUGAUGAAAUGUAACCCCUGGAUGAUGUCUCCUGAAGACGUUCUCUCAUGUAUAUAGUCCAUUGAGGAGGGGUCGCUGAUGAUGAAGAAUGACUGACAGACGGAUGAAGUUAGACACUGCCAGCUAUACAAACAGCAUUCCCUAGUUAGUGUGGACACAUCUCAGUACCGUGAAGCGUCUACUCCAGUCUCUUUAAUGUAGUUUUUGGUAGAAAGAAGCAAGCCACCCCACAAGCUGGAACAAAGUUAGUCUUUAAAUAUGGGACUUAGGAUCAAAUAUCACUCAUAAAUUGACAUUAAAAAUUAGAUGCAAGUUUUUACUCAAUUCUUUAUUUUAAACUGGAUAAUUAUUUUAAUUUAAUACUACAUACGGAGACUGCUAUCAUUACAUGCAGUAAAAUGUUCGAGGUGUGUUCAAAAAGUAAGGUGUUUGUAUUUUUAAGAAAAAAUAUUUAUUUAUCAAUAUUUAUGUUGUCCACUUCAAAGUUAUCCCCCUCAGAUACAAUACACUUAUGCCAACGGAUUUUCCAAUCCUCAAAGCACUUCUCAUAGGCAAUUUUCGGUAUAGCCUUAGCUCUUCCAGCGAUGCAGUCUUUAUCUCUUCAAUCUUUGCAAAUCUCCGUCCUUUCAUGGGGCUCUUUAUUUUUGGGAACUCUUGGGAAGUUAUGACUCCUUUAAGUAAAUCUGGAUCGACGUUGACGUCAUUCAACAGUUCUUGAGCGAUGCUCAUGCGACGGUUCUUUUGGUCAAAAUUUAGCAAUUUCGGAAUAAACUUCGUUGACACACGUCUCUUGCCCAAAACGUUAGAAAAAAAAUAUCAUGGCACGAGCCAAGCGAUAUACCAACAUCCUCAGCAACUUCUCUGAUAGUGAUUCGACGAUUUUCUAAAACAAUUUUCUUCACUACUUGAACGUUUUCAUCAGUAGUUGACGUGCUUGGGCGUCCAGAGCGAGGCUCGUCAUUGGCAUCUUCCCGGCCAUCUUGGAAAAGUUUGUAUCACCUACUUGUAAACAUUUUUUUUUACUCGGAACAGUUUCACCGUAUGUCUCUAUCAACAUUUCAAGUGUUUCGAAGCACUUUAUUUUUUUUUACACAAAAUUUGAUGCAAAUCCAUUGAUCCAUAUUUUUCGAUAGCAAGAAAUCGCCGAGCACACAAAACACUUAUAACCUUUGCGCCUCUCGCAACCAAACAAAAAAUGCUAUACACUUAAAACUGAAUACAGAUGUUCGGGAAGAGUGUACCAACAUAACAAAACAAAAAAAUUGAUAAUCCAAAAUACGUUGACUGCGAAAUUUGAAAAGUCACCUUACUUUUUGAACACACCUCAUAUAUGUGGGCGUCGGUGGCUUUGUACAAAUGGCAUUAAAAAAUUACCCAUUAGAGCAGCAGCUAUGGUCAGGAAAGGAGGUAGGCAACCGAAGUCUAUGAGUAUGGGGAAGACGAUGGUUCCAGAUAUGGUGCCCAUGCGACCCGACAUGAGGAACACGGCCAUCGCCAUCACCCUGGAAACGAGGAUUCAGGUGAUAUAGCAACAGAAUAUCUCUGAAGAAGUCCACAGAACUCACCUCAAGGAUGGGGGGAACAAGUCUACAGCAAUGCUGGAGAGGGAGGCGGAGCACAAGGCGGUGAGGGCUAGGGCCGUGGUCACUAUGGCGACCACUGGGAACGAACUGCUGCCGACGAGAGGCAGCAGGCCCACGAACACAGCGCCCAUCACCCCACACACACCCGCCACCAUCUUCUUGCCACAGCUGUAAUAGAUGACGUUCGCAUUAGUUCUAUAUAAUAUACAUUACCUAACCUAAUCCUUUUCUAGUCAUUAAGGCACGCUAUUUAUACUAAAAACAUCAAUUCCGAUAUAAACCAUAUAGAAAGUGAGACAAUUCUUGAGUAAGACUAAAAGUGAUGGUAAUUAGUAAAUAAAUAGAAACUGGUUUUUGGCUUGUCAUACAUUGGAUAAGCGAGAAAGAGCUGCUGGGUAGUCUGCGAUAUGCUCAGGUAUUAAAAAUAGGUAUUAAGGCCAGCAGCGUGUGAUCACAGUGGACGGUUGAAGCCUUACAUCCGGUUCCACAAUUCAUAGAUUUCGAUCGUAAAAACAGAUAUAUAUGGGGAUUAAUCCGCCGGGAUAUUAAAAUUAAAGAAUAUCCUAAUUUUAAUAGAGAAGAUGGCUGGCAAUUAUAAGUCACUUGGGUAUCUCUUCACUUAAAAUAAAUUCCUUGUCUGUGACCAGACCGAAGGACAUAGUUAAGACAUUCUGCGUCCAGCCAGAGCAAUAGAACCCAAGAAAAAAAAGAAAUCUUUGGCAGUAGAUGACAAAUAACAAGACUGACUGACGGACACAUUGAUCCCGUCUGCCCGUGAUCACGGCUGCUGCAAUGGAACCGAAUCAUCGGGAUUUUGUGGUUCUAAAAUAAUUAAAAACGCGUAGAAUAUCCGAAAAACAAGAAUCAUUUAAACGGAAUGAGAAAAUGAGGACUCAUGUAUUUAUAAUAAUUUGGAGCUAUAUAAACUGAACGUGCUCGAUCAAAAGGCAUUCACCGUGUUUGUGGUUCACCCAGCAUGCUUUAAAAAACUUGAAGUACUUGUGCCCUAUAUUUCUUAUGUUUGAAAGGAUCUUUUGGAUUCUGAACUUUUAAAUCGAAACAGAAAGUUAUUUACUUCUAACACAUGUUAGGCCACAUAGUCUCUCCAGUAGUCUGGAUAUAAUAAGAUAUUUCAUCUAUGGAUAUUUUAAACCGAAUUUAGAUCGAAUGAAGACAGAAUUUAGUAAAUUUUUUUGUUAGCAUUUGGGUAAUGUCUCUGGCGGUUUAGAUUCCCAAAUCAGUCAAACAGAUGGCGUUGCAGUCUGUAUCUAGGUUAUUUAAAUGAAAAGGCUGCAACGUAGGUUACUAUACGUAAUGUUAUAAAUCACUGACGUUCCUGCGGUACGAUGUACUUACCGAUUGAUGAGCAUGCCUCCUAUUCCGUAAGUGAGCACAGAUCCAGCUCCCACCACCGCGUUCUGCAGGUAGGUGAGCAUGUCCGUCUCUAUGGGCGUGCAGUCUGUGACCUCGUCCGCGAGCGGCUGCGGGGCGAUGGCGGAGCAGAGGCUGGCGUUACCCUCGGAGCCUAUCAUGGCUGCCAGUUGCGGGUACCACAGACGAACAGUGUUGGCUCUGGACCAAUGUUACUUUAAUGAAUAUAUUACAUUGGGUUCGCAUCACAUUUCGUUCUUUGAAAUCGCAACAUAAACGUAUAAAUCAGUCAAUGUAAUUCAUAACUUAUUUAAUAUCACUUACUUGUCAUUGGCGUGUUGUUAUAUUAAAGUGCCUACUAAGGAGUAAGGACACAAUCCGAAUAAGGGCUUUUACCAAGAAAACGGAGUUAUUCUACCUUCCUAUAAAAAGCACGAAGAUUUUGGUAUGGAUUGAUCAUAUAUACAUUUUUGUGAUUCUUUCACCAAAAAUACCUGAAUGGAUUGUAAUGAUAUAGUAAAAUAGACUGUAGCGUUAAUUUAUUCCGAAAUCUACAGAAGAUUCGGUGGAAACGCCGCCUAAUGGUCGAUAGAUGGCGUUGGCAUUUGUUUGCUAUGUAUAAUUUUACAAGUACAAUAUGUUCGUCUGUAAACUCAGAUCCCAAGUUAAACGGGCAAAAGCUAGCUAUGAAUUUGUAAAAAUUUUUUAGAUUUUGAAAGGUGUUUCAUAAAACGAUUAUAAAAUAAAAUAAAAUACGGUUGUCUAAGUCUUAAAAUAUUCAAGAUCAAAGGUCACAAGAACGUUUUAUUAUUGCGAAUAUGUAUCCAGCCUAUGAGCAACUGUUUGGCUUCGCUUAUCUAUUGAAAAUAAAAUGCUACUAUAACAAAACGUUUGGUAAACAAAAGCCGUUUUAUGUAUUUAUAUGAAAUUACUAAUAAUUUAUUAAAGAAAAAUACAAAUGUUUUGGAUAAAUGUUUUGGGAACUUAAUCCUUCCUUCGUCUUAAAUGUCUAUAAUUAUAAUGUCGUAGUGUGUGUAUGUUGGGUGUCAGUUCUCACCCGAACAUGCAGCACACGUGUGCGACGCAUAUCAGCAGCAACCAAGCGGCAUGCGGUCGACGAAACAACGGCGAGAGCUGGGCCACGCCGCCCUGGAGCGCCUCCAGCCCGCGGCCACGUUGUGGAUGUUUCUCUUGCGCUAGGCGAGUUAUCUACAUAGAUUGACCUCAUCAAAUUAGAGCUUUUUUAAUCAUAGUUUUUAUUAAAUGACCUGACAAAAAUAACUUUUUUUCCGUUACACUUCCAUUGUGAUAUCCGAAGCUAUAAAGAAAUAAAACACCGUGUAGAUAUGAAAAUGAAAUCCGUUCAUCAUUUGGUUGGACCAGAGUAUUUGGAGGUAGCUUCAUAUCAGUCUUAUAAUAUGCGUUUUAGAGCGGUAUGAGAUAUAAUAGUUAGCAUAUCUUCCUCACCGGGUAGGUCUCGGGUGGCCUGCCAGUGUUCCAGGAGUAUAUUUUUUUCAAUAUUACUAAAGCUUCAUCGUUGCGACCUCUCGACAUGAGGAACUUGGGGCUCUCUGGCAAGCAGACGGCUGCCAGUCCCGUCAGUAAUGGCACCAUCGCCGUGGCCAACAGGAAUAUGUUCCACGAAUGGAGGACUAUACAAUGACAAUAAGUUUUAACAACUUUAAAACAAUUCAUAAGUUAAAAUGUAUUUAUUGCAAUAAUGUUGAGCUGAUUUAGAACUUAAUCAAAUACCCAUCCUACCCAUUCCACCUCCGAAAAGUGUGAAUUCCCAGUCUUGGGUGAUAAUAGCCCACGCCAGUAGCGGGAGGGUGGUGUUGGCCAGGGUGAAGAAGAAACUGGAGAGGAGAAUGACACGAGCUCGGAUGUCAGCUCGGUGGAGCUCAGCGAGGUAAGAGAUUAGCACUGCGAAGGGACCGUUGAAU